rnacentral:rRNA from 1 species
UACGGGGGGGGCAAGCGUUGUUCGGAAUUACUGGACGUAAAGGGCGCGUAGGCGGCCUGCUAAGUCGGAUGUGAAAUCCCUCGGCUCAACCGAGGAACUGCAACCGAUACUGGCGGGCUUGAAUCCGGGAGAGGGAUGUGGAAUUCCAGGUGUAGCGGUGAAAUGCGUAGAUAUCUGGAGGAACACCGGUGGCGAAGGCGGCAUCCUGGACCGGUAUUGACGCUGAGGCGCGAAAGCUAGGGGAGCAAACGGG